rnacentral:rRNA from 1 species
CGAGUAGUGGGGGAUAACUGAUCGAAAGAUCAGCUAAUACCGCAUACGUCUUGAGAGAGAAAGCAGGGGACCUUCGGGUCUUGCGCUAUUCGAGCGGCCGAUAUCUGAUUAGCUAGUUGGUGGGGUAAAGGCUCACCAAGGCGACGAUCAGUAGCGGGUCUGAGAGGAUGAUCCGCCACACUGGGACUGAGACACGGCCCAGACUCCU